rnacentral:rRNA from 1 species
GGGGAGAAUCGGAUGUUAACUUUUUCUAUAGAUGUCCGUGCAUAUAUUAUUUGCCUGAUUCCGAGUCCGUACGAGCAAGUUACGCCUAUUUUAAUAGAUGACA